rnacentral:rRNA from 1 species
CCGCCCGUCACAUCACGAAAGUCAGUUGCCCUUGAAGUCGCUGCGCUAACCGCAAGGAGGGCAGGCGCCUACGGAGUGGCUGGUGAUUGGGGUG